AAUACUGAAAUUGAUCCCAGACCAAAAUUCGAACUCAAGUAUUACAACUCUGCCCCUUUUAAGAAGAAAUUUGGUCCCUUACAUUUGUCACCCUCUCACUUAGUCAAACAGUUGAGGAUACUGUCUCUAAAGUCCGAUUCUAGCUCCCAUGUGGCCUCUUUCUGUGUGUGAUUCUGUGAUAGGACCUUGACAAAGGAAAUUUCUCUGUUGCAGAGUACUCUACUUUUUCGGUCUAUAAUCCCCACUAGUACCUCCUCAUAUGAUAGAUCCUCCUGGAGUGAAGGGCGCUUAUGGGACAAUAUGUGUGAGGAGUCCAAGUUGUACUUGCGUAGCAUGGACACAUGAAACACAUUAUGAAUCCUGGAUAGAUCUGGAGGUAGUGCCAGCC
rnacentral:lncRNA from 1 species